AAUUGGAGGGCAAGUCUGGUGCCAGCAGCCGCGGUAAUUCCAGCUCCAAUAGCGUAUAUUAAAGUUGUUGCAGUUAAAAAGCUCGUAGUUGAAUUUCGGGAUUGACACAUCGGUCGUGCCUUAAGGGGUAUGAACUGGUGUAGUCAAUUUCUCACCUUCUGGAGAACCGCGAUGCCCUUAAUUGGGUGUCACGGGGAACCAGGACCUUUACUUUGAAAAAAUUAGAGUGUUUAAAGCAGGCAUUUUGCUUGAAUACAUUAGCAUGGAAUAAUAAAAUAGGACGGCAUGAUUCUAUUUUGUUGGUUUCUAGGAUCACCGUAAUGAUUAAUAGGGAUAGUUGGGGGCAUUAGUAUUCAAUUGUCAGAGGUGAAAUUCUUGGGUUUAUUGAAGACUAACUACUGCGAAAGCAUUUGCCAAGGAUGUUUUCAUUAAUCAAGAACGAAAGUUAGGGGAUCGAAGACGAUCAGAUACCGUCGUAGUCUUAACCAUAAACUAUGCCGACUAGGAAUCAGACGAUGUUAAUUUUUUAAUGACUCGUUUGGCACCUUACGGGAAACCAAAGUGU
rnacentral:rRNA from 1 species